GCACAAGCGGUGGAUGAUGUGGUUUAAUUCGAUGCAACGCGAAAACCUUACCCACCUUUGACAUGUACGGAAGUUGCCAGAGAUGGCUUCGUGCUCGAAAGAGAGCCGUAACACAGGUGCUGCAUGGCUGUCGUCAGCUCGUGUCGUGAGAUGUUGGGUUAAGUCCCGCAACGAGCGCAACCCUUGUCAUUAGUUGCUACGAAAGGGCACUCUAAUGAGACUGCCGGUGACAAACCGGAGGAAGGGUGGGGAUGACGUCAAGUCCUCAUGGCCCUUAUAGGUGGGGCUACACACGUCAUACAAUGGCUGGUACAAAGGGUUGCCAACCCGCGAGGGGGAGCCAAUCCCAUAAAGCCAGUCGUAGUCCGGAUCGCAGUCUGCAACUCGACUGCGUGAAGUCGGAAUCGCUAGUAAUCGUGGAUCAGCAUGUCACGGUGAAUACGUUCCCGGGUCUU
rnacentral:rRNA from 1 species